GGCUCUGUGGAGCAAUGGAUAGCGCAUUGGACUUCUAAUUCAAAGGUUGUGGGUUCGAGUCCCACCAGAGUCG